rnacentral:rRNA from 1 species
CGAGCGGAGGAUGGGUGCCUGAUGCUUGGGAACAUGCCUUGAGGUGGGGGACAACAGUUGGAAACGACUGCUAAUACCGCAUAAUGUCUACGGACCAAAGGGGGCUUCGGCUCUCGCCUUUAGAUUGGCCCAAGUGGGAUUAGCUAGUUGGUGAGGUAAUGGCUCACCAAGGCGACGAUCCCUAGCUGGUUUGAGAGGAUGAUCAGCCACACUGGGACUGAGACACGGCCCAGACUCCUACGGGAGGCAGCAGUGGGGAAUAUUGCACAAUGGGCGCAAGCCUGAUGCAGCCAUGCCGCGUGUGUGAAGAAGGCCUUCGGGUUGUAAAGCACUUUCAGUCAGGAGGAAAGGUUAGUAGUUAAUACCUGCUAGCUGUGACGUUACUGACAGAAGAAGCACCGGCUAACUCCGUGCCAGCAGCCGCGGUAAUACGGAGGGUGCGAGCGUUAAUCGGAAUUACUGGGCGUAAAGCGUACGCAGGCGGUUUGUUAAGCGAGAUGUGAAAGCCCCGGGCUCAACCUGGGAACUGCAUUUCGAACUGGCAAACUAGAGUGUGAUAGAGGGUGGUAGAAUUUCAGGUGUAGCGGUGAAAUGCGUAGAGAUCUGAAGGAAUACCGAUGGCGAAGGCAGCCACCUGGGUCAACACUGACGCUCAUGUACGAAAGCGUGGGGAGCAAACGGGAUUAGAUACCCCGGUAGUCCACGCCGUAAACGAUGUCUACUAGAAGCUCGGAACCUCGGUUCUGUUUUUCAAAGCUAACGCAUUAAGUAGACCGCCUGGGGAGUACGGCCGCAAGGUUAAAACUCAAAUGAAUUGACGGGGGCCCGCACAAGCGGUGGAGCAUGUGGUUUAAUUCGAUGCAACGCGAAGAACCUUACCUACACUUGACAUACAGAGAACU